GUCGCUGUGGCGCAAUCGGUUACUGCGUUCGGCUGUUAACCGAAAGGUUGGUGGUUCAAGCCCAUCCAGGGACG
rfam:Nematostella vectensis strain CH2 x CH6 NEMVEscaffold_37_Cont6330, whole genome shotgun sequence.